rnacentral:miRNA from 1 species
GUCAUUACUUCCAUGUUUCA